GUGCUUGUGGCCUAGUGGUUUGAGCGUCCACCUCGGAUGCAGAAAGUCGUAGGUUUGAUCCCCGGUCGAGUCAUACCAAAGACU